AUAUAUAACAGUUACACGAACAUUCAUAUUAUUACGUGGCUUUUAUAUGGCUUGGUCUUAAAUAAUUUCCUACAAUUUUUGAAAUUAAAGUAUUUUUUAGCUAAUUGGCAAAAAAAAAAAAAUUAUAAUUCAUUAAUUAUAAAUUGUAAAGCACAAACAACAAAUAAUAAAUUAUAAAAGAAAUGGUAAACGUAAAUUGGCCUGGAUUACUUAAAUGGUCUACUAAGUAUGCAGAUGGAACUGUAGACACAAGUAAAAGAUUGAGUAAAGAGAAUAUUGAUUUUCUGCAAGGAGCAAUAAAAGAAGCGUUAAGUCAAAUCGAAGAUCCAUAUGAAGCUAUUAGUGAAGCAAUUCGGAAUUUUGAGAGUAAAGAUGAAGGUAUUAUUUUAGCUUCAUCUAAAAUUAUUGAACGUUUAGUUGAUGAAUAUCCAGAAGUUGCAAGAAAUUUAGAUAAAAUAAAUGCUAUUGAGCCUUUAUUAAAAUUAUUAGACUAUUCUAACAAUCAUAUUUUAGAAUCAGUACUGCAAAUUUUUUCUUUAGCCUUAUCUAAUAACCCAGGGUUACAAAACUCAGUUUUUAAAAAAAAUGGUUUAAAAACGUUAUUAUUAAAAUUACAAGAAUCAAAACAUACUAAUAUUGAUAAAAAAUUAAUUACAGCUAUUUCAGCUUUAAUAAGACAUCAUGAUGAAGCUGAAAAUAAAUUUAUCGAUUAUGGAGGUAUCGCUUUUUUAGUUUAUGGUAUGCAAACCAAUAUUUUUAAAUACCAAGAAAAAUCAGCUUUACUUUUAAAACAUUUAGUAUACCAAAAUAAAAUUACUUUUGAAAUUUUUGAAAAAAAUGAUAUAAUGAAAGGACUAGUAGAGCUAGCUAAUAAUAAAAAUAUUGACGAAACUGGUAUACAAUAUGGUGAAACAACAGCUGAACUGUUUUUAGUAAUAAUACAAAAUCAUAGACAUAGGUUAGCUAAAUCAGGUUAUUUACAAAAAUUUAAAAAUAUAAUUCAAAAUAGGUUGGAAUAUUUGCGAGUGGUACAAGAUAAUGCAUCUUAUGACGUGUCACAAGAAAUACAGCUUUUUAACGAUUGUCUGAAGUUAACAGACUGGCCCGGAGUUAAACAGAAAGAGAAAAGUGCAGAAUAUAAUUAUAGUAUAACUUCUUUAUAA
rnacentral:lncRNA from 1 species